rnacentral:rRNA from 1 species
UACGUAGGUGGCGAGCGUUGUCCGGAAUUACUGGGUGUAAAGCGCGUGUAGGCGGUGUGUCGCGUCGGCCGUGAAAACCUGCAGCUUAACUGUGGGCUUGCGGUCGAUACGGGCAUCACUGGAGUUCGGCAGGGGAGACUGGAAUUCCUGGUGUAGCGGUGAAAUGCGCAGAUAUCAGGAGGAACACCGGUGGCGAAGGCGGGUCUCUGGGCCGAUACUGACGCUGAGGAGCGAAAGCGUGGGGAGCGAACAGG